ACUAUAAACAGAAUAACUCAUCUGGGGCCUGUUGCACAAAAGUAGAAUUAAGACAUCCGGGAUAAAUGACUCAGCUGAGCUCAAUGAAGCCAAAACAUGUGCGUCCAGGCUUAAUUGGUUGCACAAAGACCAAGCCAGGAUGAGCAGACACGGAUUCAUUAAGCCAGGUGAAACCAAUCCUGGAUAGGUGCGCGCUCACGGCUCACUCAAAUAGACCCCGCCACAGAUCACAGAUUAACUGAUUUACCAUGGCAACUAGAGCCGCGUACUUUUCCCCGUCGGAAGCACAAAUCCUCAUGGAGGCAUACGAGGAGGUAAAAGAUAUAAUUAAGAAGAAAGGCAACACGCCACAGUGAUAAAGCAAAGAGAAAAAGCGUGGCAAAGUAUUGCAGACCGCCUGAAUGCGUAAGUAGUGCACAAUUACACACUCACCGCUCCGCUGAAACAUCACAAUUACAAUUCAAAUAUUUAAUUCACAUCUCCAAAAAUGCAGUUGUACUGUAAUUAUGAAACGGUUAAAUGUUUAAUUGAAAUGCACUGCAGAUAUGAGUGAAAUUGUGUAAAGUAACUUUUUACUGAAAACAAGACAAAAAUACCAAGUAAUUUUUUGCAGUGUGACUCCAUUAAAUGUGUGUGUGUGUGUGUGUGUGUAGAUUAAACAUGAACGGGCCAAAACGGACAUGGCAGCAGGUCAAAAUCAAAUACAAGAACAUUCUGCAGAAUGCAGUGAAAAAGAAUACCCACAGACAAGGCACGGGUGGUGGGUCACCAAAGGCUGACCUUACCCCAGCAGAGGACAUGGCCUCUAAAUAAAGGCAGGCCCGUCUUAGAGGGGAUCCCUGGGGGGAAAGAGACGAGCAUAGGUUCCUCCCAAGAUGCCACCCGCUUCAUUCAAGUGCCUGGCAGCACUGUGUUCCUGUUAGAGCCACCAGCACAAGCACCAGACGAUGCUGAUCCAG